rnacentral:rRNA from 1 species
GGGUCAGUAGGUUGGUCGUGCCACCGGUACGUACUGGUCUCACUGAUUCCUCCUUCCUGAAGAACCGUAAUGCCAUUAAUUUGGUGUUGCGGGGAAACAGGACUGUUACUUUGAAAAAAUUAGAGCGUUUAAAGCAAGCUAACGCUUGAAUACAUUAGCAUGGAAUAAUGAAACAGGACGAUCGAUCCUAUUUUGUUGGUUUCUAGGAUUGACGUA